UCUUUAGUACCGCAGCUAACGCGUGAAGUUGACCGCCUGGGGAGUACGGUCGCAAGAUUAAAACUCAAAGGAAUUGACGGGGACCCGCACAAGCGGUGGAUUAUGUGGAUUAAUUCGAUGCAACGCGAAAAACCUUACCUACCCUUGACAUGCCAGGAAGUUGCCAGAGAUGGCUUCGUGCCCGAAAGGGAACCUGGACACAGGUGCUGCAUGGCUGUCGUCAGCUCGUGUCGUGAGAUGUUGGGUUAAGUCCCGCAACGAGCGCAACCCUUGUCAUUAAUUGCCAUCAUUCAGUUGGGCACUUUAAUGAGACUGCCGGUGAUAAACCGGAGGAAGGUGGGGAUGACGUCAAGUCCUCAUGGCCCUUAUGGGUAGGGCUUCACACGUAAUACAAUGGUCGGUACAGAGGGUUGCCAACCCGCGAGGGGGAGCUAAUCUCAGAAAGCCGAUCGUAGUCCGGAUUGUAGUCUGCAACUCGACUACAUGAAGUCGGAAUCGCUAGUAAUCGCGGAUCAGCAUGUCGCGGUGAAUACGUUCCCGGGUCUUGUACACACCGCCCGUCACACCAUGGGAGUGGAAUCUGCCAGAAGUAGGUAGCCUAACCGCAAGGAGGGCGCUUACCACGGUGGGUUUCAUGACUGGGGUGAAGU
rnacentral:rRNA from 1 species